rnacentral:rRNA from 1 species
GACGAACGCUGGCGGCGUGCUUAACACAUGCAAGUCGAACGGAAAGGCCCUGCUUUUGUGGGGUGCUCGAGUGGCGAACGGGUGAGUAACACGUGAGUAACCUGCCCUUGACUUUGGGAUAACUUCAGGAAACUGGGGCUAAUACCGGAUAGGAGCUCCUGCUGCAUGGUGGGGGUUGGAAAGUUUCGGCGGUUGGGGAUGGACUCGCGGCUUAUCAGCUUGUUGGUGGGGUAGUGGCUUACCAAGGCUUUGACGGGUAGCCGGCCUGAGAGGGUGACCGGCCACAUUGGGACUGAGAUACGGCCCAGACUCCUACGGGAGGCAGCAGUGGGGAAUAUUGCACAAUGGGCGCAAGCCUGAUGCAGCCAUGCCGCGUGUAUGAAGAAGGCCUUCGGGUUGUAAAGUACUUUCAGCGGGGAGGAAGGGAGUAAAGUUAAUACCUUUGCUCAUUGACGUUACCCGCAGAAGAAGCACCGGCUAACUCCGUG